rnacentral:misc_RNA from 1 species
AAGUCGUAACAAGGUUUCCGUAGGUGAACCUGCGGAAGGAUCAUCACUGUGAUUUAGUACUACACUGCGUGAGCGGAACGAAAACAACAACACCUAAAAAUGUGGAAUAUAGCAUAUAGUCGACAAGAGAAAUCUACGAAAAACAAACAAAA